AUAAAAUACAUAUAUUAGUAAUUAUUACACAUUUACUUAUUAUUUAAGUAAAUAAUUUUAUAUUAUUAUUUUAUUGUUAUUAUAUUAAACUAAUGAAAUAAAAGAUAGAAAAGAGAAUAGAAACAGAAUAGCAUGGACGAAACAGAGAAGGAAAGAAGGAAAGAAAGAAAAGAAAGAAAGAAAAGAGAAAAUUGAGGUUUUGAGGUUCUAAGCUCAUUUGCUAAUGUCGUGCAAGAGUCAUUGUACGAGAAAGGAAAGGAGAAGGUGGACAAGGAGUGAUUCGAGAAAAUUUCGGUUAGUAUUACCAUAAUUCGAAUUUAAUUAUUCAUUGUUGAAAUUUAAAUUAAUAUACAUUAUAAGCAAAUUUAAGGUGAGUAUCAUGAUUGAAUUGAAUGAAAUAUAUAGAUAUAUACACACACGUAUUGGUAUUGAAUUUAUUGAUAGUAAUUGUUGAAUUUUGAAUAAUAUGUUUAGUAAAUAAAAAUAAGGUGAAUAUCGAUAUUGAAUUAAAUGAAUUAAAAAUAUGAAUUGAAUAAAAGUGAAUUAAAUUAUGAUUAUGUGUGAAUAUGUGAAUUGAGUAUAGAUAGAAAAGUGGUUUGAAUUGAAUUGAAGUAUGAUUGUACGUGAAUAUCUGAAAUAUGUAUUGGUAUUGAAUUGUAUAUUGAUUAGAAAGUGGGAAGUGAAUCUGAAUUAAAUUGUGAUUGAAUCGAAAGUGAUUUUGAAAUAGAAAAAUGAUUUGAAUACCCUAUUAACUAGUCGGGCUGAGUCGGAUAUAGUUGGCAUGCCAUAGGAUUGGAAGUGUUCAGGGAUAUUUUGACCUUGAGUCGAUGAGACACUGGGUGUCAUACUGUUACUUCGGAUAGAUUCGAUGAGGUACUGGGUACCAACUUUCUUCGGCUCUGCCGAUGAGACACUGGGUGUCACUUUAUUGCUUCGAACUAUCCGAUGAGGCACUGGGUGCCAUUCUGGUGUGUUUGGUUGGAUCCGUGUAUCCGCCAAAGUCCGAGUCUUGUUAAUAGGGUAAAUAAUUGGAAUGAAAAAAAAAUUGAAUAAGUGUGAUUGAUUGAGGUAUGGAAAGAAAUGAGAAAGUGAAAUUGUGAAUUGAUAGGUGAAUUGGAAAUCGAGAUAAGAGAUUUGAAGAUAUGAACCCAAAGCUCAUGAUUUGAUUAAGAGUAAAUUUUUGUUAUAUGAUAUUAGUGAGUAAAAAUUGCAAUAGAAUUGAUACUAAAUAUAGUGAUAAAUAGAAUGAAUUUCAUAUGAAUUGAAAUAAAUUAUUGGAAUGAGAUGUGAAAAUCCAAUAAAAUUUAGAUAGUGAAAUAAGGUAUGAAUACCGAAUGAAAUAUUGCUUAUUGUUAUUAAUGGUCAAGUUGAUUUAAAGUAUGGGAUAAUUAAUGAAUAAUUGUAGACAUAAAUUAAAUGUAUAUAAUUUAUCCAUUAAUGUUAUAAAUUUGAAUUAUGGUAAUACCACUGAGUAUUCCCAUGCUCAGUGUACGGUUGUUUCCGUGCGCAAGUUAGUAGAAAUCCAGUGUUCGGUCCAGCAUCCAGAGUAGUCCCGACCUCAGAGAAUUUAGCGAUGUACCUUUCUUUUGAUAACGUGGCAUGUACCUAAGUAAUGUUUAUACCUAAGUGAUGUAUAGGGAUUAGUCAUUUUGAAUGUUUUUAUCUAUGAUAUUGCUAAAGGAA